AUGGGACUGCAGCACUUCAGUGGAUCUCUCACAUCUAUGAUGGAUAACACUGAUCCCCAUUUAGCAGCUGAUGAGAGUGAAGUUCAGGGAGACUUUGUGACACUAGAAGCCCCUGGCCUGCUGCUCACUCAGCCCCUGACAGAACAAGUAUCAGGCCACACAAGUAUGUGCCCAUGCUGCUGUUGUCUGCAGUGCUUACACAGAGAGAUGUCUGGGGACCCAGGAGGAUCCUGCAGGGCAGAUGAAGCUGCAGAAUGGGAAGAAAUGUAGACUGAUGAGUGAACCAAAAUCUCAAGUUACCCUGAAGCUGUUAGCAUGUUUAUUUACUCUGGCCUCCAGUUUUCAUCCCACACGUGUGCUGCUGAGUCAGCCUUCUGAGUCAACUUCAGCUCAGAAGAUUAAUGAACAUUUUUGGAGCCAACAGUAUGUUAUCAAAAUAAAGAAAUUAAUACAGAUUUCCUUUUGUGUGGAUAUUUUUA
rnacentral:lncRNA from 1 species